CGCCCUCUUCGGAGGGAGUGGCAGACGGGUGAGUAACGCGUGGGAACCGUACCCAGUAGUACGGAAUAACUCAGGGAAACGUUAGUGCUAAUACCGUAUACGCCCUACCGGGGAAAGGAAUUUAUCGCUAUUGGAUGGCCCGCGUUGGAUUAGUUUGUUGGUGAGGUAACGGCUCACCAAGGCUACGAUCCAUAGCUGGUCUGAGAGGAUGAUCAGCCACACUGGGACUGAGACACGGCCCAGACUCCUACGGGAGGCAGCAGUGGGGAAUAUUGGACAAUGGGGGAAACCCUGAUCCAGCCAUGCCGCGUGAGUGAAGAAGGCCUUAGGGUUGUAAAGCUCUUUCACCGGUGACGAUGAUGACGGUAGCCGGAGAAGAAGCCCCGGCUAACUCCGUG
rnacentral:rRNA from 1 species